rnacentral:misc_RNA from 1 species
GAUGAAGAACGUAGUGAAAUGCGAUAAGUAAUGUGAAUUGCAGAAUUCAGUGAAUCAUCGAAUCUUUGAACGCACAUUGCGCCCGCCAGUAUUCUGGCGGGCAUGCCUGUCCGAGCGUCAUUUCAACCAUCAAGCCCCGGGCUUGUGUUGGGGACCUGCGUCCGACGCAGGCCCUGAAAACCAGUGGCGGGCUCGCUGUCCACACCGAGCGUAGUAACUAACCUCGCUAUGGAGUGGCGCGGGCGCCUGCCGUAAAACCCCCAAUUUCACAAGGUUGACCUCGGAUCAGGUAGGAAUACCCGCUGAACUUAAGCAUAUCAAUAGCGGAGGA